rnacentral:lncRNA from 1 species
GUCAAAGUGUAAGUUGCAAACCACUCUAACAGAGAAGAGGGUCUGGAGUGAUGCCUGCCACAGAAGAUUCUGCCCACCGAUCAAGAUUCCUGCCAGAAGAGUCAUUUAUCAGCCCUGCCAAGCUCCAAGGCAGCUCGACGGGGAGACAGCCAGCAGUAAUCCCACAGACGGCCAGCCAUCUACGAGUGAUUGUUAACAUGAGCCAGGAAACACACAGGAUUGUGCAAAGGUAACCAUUACGGUGGAUCUGCCGUGUGUCCUUCUAGUCCUUCAGCCUUUACUUGUACCACUUGCAUAGACAUCCAGAAACAGUAAGAUAUCUACAACAGAGGACCCACGUUGGCUUCCCUGGGCACACCAGUCUUCCUGUGGCGGCCUGGACAGCAACUUUUUCACUCUGAUUCUGAAAGAACACAGCAAAGCUCCCUGGCUGCCAAUCAUUUGCGCUACUGGAAGCUGAGAAGAAAAUGCUCAUCAAGAAAAAAAUAGGGCAAGAGGAAAGAGUUUACUUCUGCUCCGCCAUCCUUCUAUCUAUCCACGAAACAACUAAUUUUACCAGUAUUGACAUCGCUGUCCACUCAGUGGGCAUUUAUAUCAUACAAAGCACAUGGCAUUUUUGUCUGUAAACAGUAGCCUUUGUGAAAUUUACAACUACGCUGACGGAAACCCCGUGUGAGCCUAUACCCAUUUCACAAAUGAAUAAACAAGGUUCCAAAGAUUAGGCGACAAAUCAGGGCUCCUAGAUUUGGGGAUUUCACAUAUCAGUAAAAAAAAAAAAUGUAAUAGUGAGACAGGCAGAUUUAUUUUGUCCAUUGACAUUUUUAAAUACCACCUACUAUCACCAUUAUUUAAAAACAAAAGAAAAAGGAUACCUUAACAACAACAACAAAAAGAAAAUAAAGACCCUUAUCUCAAAAUAAAGUCCUUAAAAUUGAAUAA